AACGUUAAUUAUAAGAGGUAUAAACCCCUCAAUGUUUGCAUCGUUACGAUAUAGGGACCUUAUAAACGGAAGUCUGUUAACACAGUGGUAGUUAUAGCAGAGAGAGAGAGAGGAAGCACGAUAGGUGAAGGCUUAUGUCGAUCUUGUACACUGCUCAACAACUGUAUGCUCGACAAUUGAAACUUAACCAGUGUUGCAGGAAAAGUGGGCGACCUGUUGCUUUUCGGUCCUUACCUCCGUGAUGCCAAGGUUUCUUCAGUUUCCAGGUCAAUAUUGGCGCUGUUUCUUUGGCAUCGUCGUUUUAAAGUUGAAUUCAAUAGCUACAAGGUGAUGUCUGGUGUGAGUCUAUUCGAGCAGUAAGUUUCUCCUCGUGCCAUCAAGAUGCAACCAGAGACAGACGAUAGAGAGCAAGAAGUAGCAGAUGUGUCCACUAAUGGCAACAGUCCACAGCCUAGGCUGGAUAUUGACAAGAACAACUGCUCUAGCAUCGACGUAGACGAUGUUUGGAAGUACCUUCACAGAUUUGGACGCUAUCAAAUGCUGCACUUUGUGCUACUUUGGAUUGUUUCACUGUCUCUCAGUUUUUCUAUUCUCUCUGGAGUCUUUGUC